rnacentral:rRNA from 1 species
GGAACAGGUCGUCACAGAGGGUGAGAAUCCCGUAUGUGACCGGCGACCAACCCCAUGUGAAACCUCUUCGACGAGUCGAGUUGUUUGGGAAUGCAGCUCAAAAUGGGUGGUAAAUUUCAUCUAAAGCUAAAUACCGGCCAGAGACCGAUAGCGCACAAGUAGAGUGAUCGAAAGAUGAAAAGCACUUUGGAAAGAGAGUCAAACAGUACGUGAAAUUGUUGAAAGGGAAGCGCUUGCAACCAGACCUGUCCGCGGGCGUUCCACUUCCGUUCUCGGGGGCCCACUCGCCCGUGAUCAGGCCAGCAUCGGUUCGGGCGGCCGGAUAAAGGCCUUGGGAAUGUAGCUCCCCUCGGGGAGAACUUAUAGCCCUCGGUGCAAUGCGGUCAGCCCGGACCGAGGACCGCGCUUCGGCUAGGAUGCUGGCGUAAUGGUUGUAAGCGACCCGUCUUGAAACACGGACCAAGGAGUUAAUUAUCUAUGCGAGUGUUUGGGUGUCAAACCCAUGCGCGUAAUGAAAGUGAACGGAGGUGAGAACCCUUAAGGGCGCAUCAUCGACCGAUCCUGAUGUCUUCGGAUGGAUUUGAGUACGAGCAUAGCUAAUUUGACCCGAAAGAUAGUGAACUAUACCUGAAUAGGGUGAAGCCAGAGGAAACUCUGGUGGAGGCUCGCAGCGGUUCUGACGUGCAAAUCGAUCGUCAAAUUUGGGUAUA